CUCCUUCAUUUGGCAGCUCCCCAACCCCACUCCCCGCCCAGGGCUUUUCCUUGGAAACCACAUACUAUCUGAUUUUCUCCAACUGAGCAGAAAUCCCUAGAUCCCAGGGGCAGAUGCCCUGGGGACAGAGUUCCGGACAAGUCAGGUCAGAACCAGAGAAAUGGAGUCCAGCGCUGUCUGAGUCAGGACACAUCUGAGUGUCCAGUUUACGUCCUGGUCCCAAAGACUCUCCUCCUGUCUGAUGCUAGUAGUGGACGCUCAGGAGUCCCUGCUUGGUUCCUUGGUCUCAAGGCUGGAGUUCAGGCUCCUUGGCCAUCACUGGGCUCAACUGAGGCCCAAGCUGCUGCUACCUCUCCAGGGACAGCCUCUCAGGCUCACAGGUGACUUCAGACCACUGGGGAGGGGGCUGCCCACCCUGAAAUCGCAGCCUCAGCGGGCACAUGGGAUCUGCGAGCGCCGCAUGUCACCACGCCGGUGUCCUGCUCCUGUCACUGCCCUUUCACACGCACGUGCAGGGUCUGCACAGCAGGCAGGCUGGGCUGUGGGCCCAAAGUUCACUGAGGUGCACAGUUUACAGUAUGUGGGAUUAUUCCUUCCAAUCCUCCCUUUUCCUUUAAGCCUUAAAUCUUCCUUAUCUUCAACUUCCAUGCCCACGAAAUUACAUGUUUUCCAUUGUACCAGAGGACUUUUGCUUAAUAGGCUCCAGAUCAAGCAGUGCGGAUCUUUGGCUGAUGGAAUCGGAUCUCAGUCACAGAUACUGAGAAAGGAACACAGUUAUCAGCAUGUUGUUUGCAGCAGACACUGUAGCAGCAGCUCUGAAAUGGACUUCAAAUCCUGUUUCAUUUCACACGCUGAGAACGAGGGCGGAUGCUCAGACUGUGGUCCAGGAGCCAGCACUGUCAGUGUCUCCAGCAGGGACGGUCACCCUGACCUGUGGACUGAGCUGUGGGUCAGUCACCACCAGUAAUGACCCCAACUGGCAAGAGCAGAACCCAGGCCAGGCUUCCCGACUGCUCAUCUACAGCACAAACAGCCACCCUUCUGGGGUCCCUGCUCGCUACUCUGGCUCCAUCUCUGGGAACAAGGCCGCCCUCACCACCACGAGGGCUCAGUCUGAAGACGAGAUUGUUACUCUGCUGCAUGUCAAGGCAGAGGGAGCAGCUAUCAUUCCCACUGUGGAUCAGAUGACGGGGAAGUGAGACAAAAACCCUGGGCCCACAGACCUU